UACGAGGGGGGCAAGCGUUGUUCGGAAUUAUUGGGCGUAAAGGGUGCGUAGGCGGUCUGAUAAGUCAUCUGUGAAAUCUAUAGGCUCAACCCAUAGUCUGCAGGCGAAACUGUCGGGCUUGAGUAUGGGAGAGGUGAGUGGAAUUUCCGGUGUAGCGGUGAAAUGCGUAGAUAUCGGAAGGAACGCCGGUGGCGAAAGCGACGUGCUGGACCUCAACUGACGCUGAGGCGCGAAAGCCAGGGGAGCAAACGGG
rnacentral:rRNA from 1 species